UUUUCUUUCUUUCUCCCUAUUCUCUCGGCCCUCUCCCUUCGAAACCCUCCCUCCACUUCUCUCCUCGAUUUCAUUUACUUAGAGCGUGAUUCCGAACAAAGCCCAAGAAUUAAAGUCGUUAUACGGAGUUCGGGCUUCCUAUCCAUCCAAGAAAAAUCAUGAUUGGACAACGUGGGAGCUCGGUUGACUUGGUCAAAGGGUCGGGUUUUGCUCGAAACCCAUGAGGUUCAUUGCAGGUCAUGGUCAUGGAAUAUUUGGAGUGCAUGCAGACGUUAUCGAGUAAAGCUAUUUUGGAGAGUACUUUAUGAUUCUUGUAAAACAAACCGCUUUGUUAUGAAAUUCCUAUCUUAGAAGAUGCUAUUUGUAGACCAGUUUGUGGAAUUGUACACUGUAUUGUA